CCCGCCCCUCCCUGGCGGGGGCGGGCGCCCGGCUCCGGCUCUGUUGGGCCGAGCCGCCUGUGGAAACAUAUGACCUUGUGAACACAAGGUCAAGGUCCCUCCUAGGACCUAUGCAAGUGUGAGGCCUUGCCGGACACAUAAUCCUCAAGAUGAGGAAACUGAGGCACAGAGAGGGAAAGCCGAGCCUGACUCCAGCCUCAUCACUACUCCUAUUACAACAAGAAGAGAUAUGAAACUACAGGACAUUUUGAAACCGGAGGCAAAAACUUCCCUCCCACCACCUGAAGAGAGAAUGGAAAUUUGGGGGGAAACCAGACCCGCUCUACAGUGUUGGGAGCCCUGUGAUGAUCUAGAAUUACGCUGUCAAUUUGGAGCUUUAAAAUACAUCGUGCACAGCAUAUUUUGAAAUGUGAAGAUUGGGAGAGCUUCAAGAGGAAUGAAGGUUCAUGGAAAAUUGCCCUUUUCCUUCAGAUUUUUCCAUUUGGUUUUAAGUCUUCAAAACUCUCAUCCCAGGAUUCCAGCUACUAAUGCUCUUCUUCUUUAGUGAUGCCUGGAAUUCACUGGAAACUUGGACCCUGGAGUUCCGCUGACCUGAAUUCUGUUCCCACUAACAGGUGGUAUGACUUAGGAGUGAGUGGUCAAGCCUUACUUGUCGAAAGUAAGGGUAAUACUACUUCCCCUGCUGAGUUGUCAUGCAGAUCUGGGGGAUAAUGUGCAUACAGCACUUGGCACGGAGCCUGGCACACAGAAGCGCUCAGUGGGGCCCCAUGCUCCAGCUGCACACAACUUCUCAGGUUUGCUAAGCACAUUUCCAUGGUUUUGCACACGCUGUUCCCUCUUCUUGGUGGCCAACUCCUACUCAUCCUUUAAGGCCCUCUGACUUUUUCCACCUCUUCUACACUUACUACAAAUAUGUGUUCCAGUAAAACACUAGAAAAGGCACUUCCCUGUGACACCCUCCCUAGGGCUCCCUGUCACUGCAUGUCACUGCACCGAGAUGCAGUGAUCUGUUUAUGCUUUGGUCCCAACAGGGGCUUGAACUUCCUGAGGGCAAGGUCAUAUCUGAUUAAUUUCUGAGUCCCAGUGGCCAGCAUGCACAGCCUGGCAUGAAGUAGAUUUCAACACAAGUUUGCUUUACCUUAAAUGCACGUGGUCUGGAUCCAGCCCCUGCUGCCCCAGGACAAAUUUAUGUCUAAGAAAUGGUCAAAAGCAGCCAGAUCUGUUACAGCCACUGGAAGUGGCAGUGAGUGGACCCAGAGCAGCCUUGAGACAGGCCUGUCCUGGGAGAAGUUGAAGGGGACAUAGUCCUUGCAAGCGAAUAAACAGCCUUGGUUUCAAUGUCACCUCCUUCAGGAGUCUUCCUUGGGUCCUAAAUUGUCCCCUUUCUCUGAGAUCUCCCCAAGGCAUUAGCAGAAGGGGUCUCAAGUGAUGACGAGUGUCCCCUGCCUUGCUGAAACUCCCCCACCCCCACAUUCAUACACAGGUCCCUAUAGUCUCCAUAGGUCAUAGGCUCCAUUUGGAGGGUGAAGGUGACGUAGGUGGGCUGGGACUCCAGGCCUAGGUAGCCUGGCAGGAUGGCUCAGUGCUGGGCACU
rnacentral:lncRNA from 1 species